rnacentral:rRNA from 1 species
UACGUAGGGUGCGAGCGUUAAUCGGAAUUACUGGGCGUAAAGCGUGCGCAGGCGGCCAUACAGGUCCGUUGUGAAAACUCGAGGCUUAACCUCGAGACGUCGAUGGAAACCGUAUGGCUAGAGUCCGGAAGAGGAGAGUGGAAUUCCUGGUGUAGCGGUGAAAUGCGCAGAUAUCAGGAAGAACACCCGUGGCGAAGGCGGCUCUCUGGGACGGUACUGACGCUGAGACGCGAAAGCGUGGGGAGCGAACAGG